rnacentral:lncRNA from 1 species
UUUUAUUGUUUUCACAGAAAAUGCAAUAACUCCUCAUUGAUAUCAACUACCCAGUUGCAAGAAGAGUAUAUACCUUCUGCUUUUUUGAGACACAGGCGAAGCAAUUUGGUUAAUAAGAAGAAGAGGAGACUUGAUUGUUUUCCUGGAAAGGACAAAGGUUUGACUUUUUUUUGCUGUUGUUACAUGUAUGAAAAAUAUGGAAGAGUGCAUCAGGGUUCCUAUUAAAUUCUUUCCUGCAGACAUUAAGGUGUAUGAAGCCCUGAAGAUUUAUCCCAUGGUAACAUAACCGAUAAAUUGUAUAACUAGUCUCAUUUUGGUGACAAGUAAACAUUGCUCAACAAACACACAUACCGCUUUGCAUACCUUACCUGGAAAGAGGCUUUAUUGAACAUAGCUGUAAAAUUAUCUUUUAAGUUGAAUUACUGAAUUUGCACAAACAUUUCUACAGAAUUUUUUUUCUUUUAAAAAUCAAGCUUUGUCAUUUUCCACUACAUUUUGUUGUGCUUUUUAUAUUAAUAUUUGCAAAUGUUAUAAUUUAAUACUUCUAUCCCAAUUACUUGCAUAAUCAGUUUUUUUUUUAAUCCUGGGGUAUUGAAAGAACAUAUAAUAAUAAUAAUAUUCUUCUUUAGACAAAAGUCUUUUUAAAUGAAGUUAAAAGCUGAGAUAAUUUAAGGAAAAAGAUCUUCAAAUUUUCGUAACCAACAGGUUUAAGUGAAAUUUACAAUGCAUUGGAAAACUGGCUGGUUAAAGGUAUGCUUUGUCCUCAGGUAGCUCAAAAUCAUUAUUUUUACAGGUUUUUGUUUUUUUGUAAAAGUGUUUUUAAUCUUGGUAAAAUAAUAAAAUAAUAUUUCACAAUUUGCA